UACAUACAUUAUUUGGCAGAUACAAUGUGGUCAGAAGCCGGUUUAUGUUUUAGAUCAGCCUCUGCGCUCUCUAAAGCUCUACUUGCAAUAUUGCUCAUUGCAAAUAAACAAUAGCUGAUAAACAAUGAAAAUAUAGUGUUAAUAUAUAUAUAUAGGAAGUGUACACGGAGGAGCAAAUUGCAAGACUGUAAACUUUGAAUGGAGGCACGUCACUUCUGGGCAAAUUUGCACAGAUAUUAAAUUUCGGCCCUCUCAUUUUAGUCUUAGGCCUAAUGCGAGGCUGAAUUUUUAUAGCGCGCUGAUCGAUAUCGCUGUAAAAAUAAUCAUUUUUUUAAACUAGCGGGGCAGCGAAAUCUUUGCUUUGUGCUAAAGUCAACAGUGGCAGAGUUUGAGCUCAAAUAAAUGCCGCUGUGCCUGGAGCACUUUGCAGAAGGCAGCGGGGAAGCAGCGGACUCUCACGCCUUUCCUUUACAACAGCUUACAGGUAUGGAUCAAUUUGCAAAAGAUCAUCAGGUUCAGUCCUAACCCUUCAAACCACGCUGGAAGUGUUAGCUUGCCAAUCAUCCUCACAACACCUUCACCUGCGACUCAGCAGUCACGUCUGACCUGGCCGUGUAUGCGAGAUAACAUUCGCGUCUGCAGAGCUGAGAGGGGGGACAAAAGGAAGUUUGACGUUAAUGAUUAACGGCGCUAAAAGCCCCUGCUUUUGUAUUCCCAUGGUACCGAGGCUAUCUGGUGGCCAUGUGACCUGCGUGGAGGAGAUUGGGGGUGAGCGGUAGAGCAAACACAGGUGCUGUGUUUGAGUUGGAGUCGCCUGCGCUGUCAGGGACAACCACAAACACACACAGCCAUGCCAAGCUCCACAAACAGCCGCCUACGCCAACAGAUCAAGUCCAAUGUGCUCCUCCCCAUCUUCCUAUAUGUUCCACAUCGGAAAAGUAUCUACCAUGUUUAGUGCAUCUUUAAGGAAAUAAAAACACACAAUUGCCUUUAAACUGUAUAAUAAAACCUAAUAAUAUAAAUAUUAA